CGCCCGUCCAAAAAGACGCUUGAACGCCAGUCAGACGCGCUGUAUCAUAGUAAAACAAUUGUUUUACUGGCGUCGCGCUUCUAGGGUUUCAUCUCUGUGUGAUCGCCCCCUACGUCUCGAGCGCCGGUGACUUUUUGGAAGUCAUUUCAGUAUUUCUAUAAGAGUAUCAUUUACAUUUCCUGCCAAUGACAAUUCACUGUCCUGCAGUUGCAGACACUUUCGGUACCGUUUCAUCACAUAUUUUAUGAAGUAGCCUCCUUUAUUCAUGGUUAUGAUGAUGUCGCUCGUAAUUAACACCCCCUCUUCUUUCACUCUAACGUGCCUGUGGCUAGAUAGGAAAACCCACUGAACUAGUUGAUAACAAGCUUUAUAGCACUGGUUAUCCAGAUGGCCAAUGUUAGAGUUAGUCAAGCCAGAUAACAAAAAGAUAUCCUGGGUAAGUUAAACUGGCUUUGUAGGACAGGGCUCUGCUCUGGACAGUAAAUGUGUGUUGGUGUUUGUAUGUGGAGACCAAGAACCUUACCACCUGUUCUUAUAGGCAGAAAUCCCAGGGGUGGAUGGGGGGGUCUGGACUCCCCCUUCUUAGGAAAAACGGGGAAUUGUCAGCCCCAAUAUAUAUCAUUUAAGGAAACUAUGCAAUUCUGAACUUUAUAAUAAUAUACAAUAGUUUGGUCCGUGUCCGCAUAUACUGGCACACAGCAGCACUCGGCAGGACUGAUUGUGAUCAGUGGAAUUGUGUCAGAGGAAACUGAGCUCCACUAAGUAACUACUUUGCAAAAGUUCACUUAAAAUAAGAGACAUGUCAGACAUCUAUAUUUACUGCUACUUUUCAACAGAAUAAAACACGUUACCAGUUGUAACCAGACAGCAUUUUGUUCACUUCAUUCGACAGUGUUGCCCCCGUGUGGAAAUGGGUGUAGGUAGUUAUGAGUAUCGGAAAAAAUGUAUUUCUACUCUAGGAGAACUGUUCAGUGUCAGGGAUAGUGGUGGAACGGUCAGGGCCAGGGACGGAGCCUUAGACUUCAAAUGCCAGCACAACUGACCAGGGCACAGCAGAGCAGGAGGAGCCUAUUGCCAGCACCAGCACAUUAUACAGGGGCACUGAGUCUCAGGCAAACGCUGCAGUCUACUAUAACAGUUUGACCAAUAGAACACUAAGAUUUCGAGGGAGGGCCGUCGUUGGCCUAUCGGAUUUAGCUACAUCGAGCACAGCUGUUCAACGGAGGAAUUGGCAGAUGGACACGAUGGAGACAAGUAAGUAACGUUAUUAUAUUAUUAAAAAAAUGUUUGCAACUUGAUUGUUUUGUACAGUAUUGAGUUCAAACAUAUGGUGACGUUUUACAAGUGUAAAAGUAACGUUAGCGUUAGCUUUUGCAAAAAGUGCUCGCUAGCAGCUUCACGCACUUCACGGGUAAAGUGAAGUUGAAGUGGCUUGCAUCUUAUUUCUCAUUGGGUUACGUUAGGUCUCUUAAGUCCUUGUGGUAGAAAUAACCAGGAUUGCACGUUUAUUAGAGUAUCUGCUGACAUACAUCACUGAGUCUCAUAAACCAAGCAAACACGCUAUGAUGAUGUGUUAACAAUGUUGUCAUUUAAUCAUUGUUUCCUCACAUAACCUCCAUGGAAACAGCAGAAGAGAGCUAACAGCUAAACGAAAAAAAGUAAGGUUUUUGAAAAGUGCUUGAACUGAUUGUAAAUCACGUGUAGCAUUAGAGAGUUUGUAACAAAGAAACAAAGCAUAACAUAUACAUUAUAUAGAAAGCUACAUCAUUUUUUUCCCUCCUGCAGGAGUCAUCACACACACCACUGCCUACUCAAAGGAUGAAGCCAUAUGGGCCUAGUCUUCUUCAAAAGGCCCAUUAUCACAAUUUGUGCAUUGACACAGGUUUGUACAUGGCAGCUCAUGCAGUUUACAUGUGCAUCUGCCCUUAACACAGUUGGAUUUUUUUACAGGCGUAAUGCACAAGCUCCAGUAUCGCCUCUGGUGCUGGGGGGAGUGUCAUCCAUUCUACCUUGUACAAAUCUCCUAAUAAUAUUUAAUGACUUCUGUACUGUGAACUUAAAAUGUCCCUGCUUUUCAUUUCAGAAAUCUGAUCACCUUAUCUGAGAUGAAAUGGAAAUAACAACUGCGUGUUUUCCCUGGCUGUUUUUAAUUAAUGUAGUUUGUGAAUGUUACUGAGCACUUUAUUGGACUUCAGAAGUAAUGUGAAUGAGUGAGGGGCUUAAUUUAAGUUGCAAUUUUCUUCAUCUCAACAGUGUUCACUGCAGCUAGAUGGGCAAAUGACUCCCUCCUGUGAUGGAAUCAAGUGGAUUCAGCGUUCAAGAUUCAGAUUUGAAAUUCAAGAUCCACAUUUACAGUUUCACACUGCAUGUUUGAUACCAACCUUCUGUUCCAUUUUCCUUUUGAAUUAAAGCUUCCUUUUCUCUUCUGGGCUC